rnacentral:rRNA from 1 species
AACGAACGCUGGCGGCAUGCCUAACACAUGCAAGUCGAACGAGACCUUCGGGUCUAGUGGCGCACGGGUGCGUAACGCGUGGGAACCUGCCCUUAGGUUCGGAAUAACUCCCCGAAAGGGGUGCUAAUACCGGAUAAUGUCUUCGGACCAAAGAUUUAUCGCCUUUGGAUGGGCCCGCGUUGGAUUAGCUAGUUGGUAGGGUAAAAGCCUACCAAGGCGACGAUCCAUAGCUGGUCUGAGAGGAUGAUCAGCCACACUGGGACUGAGACACGGCCCAGACUCCUACGGGAGGAGGCAGUGGGAAUAUUGGACAAUGGGCGAAAGCCUGAUCCAGCAAUGCCGCGUGAGUGAUGAAGGCCUUAGGGUUGUAAAGCUCUUUUACCCGGGAUGAUAAUGACAGUACCGGGAGAAUAAGCUCCGGCUAACUCCGUG